UACGUAGGAUCCAAGCGUUGUCCGGAUUUACUGGGCGUAAAGGGUGCGCAGGCGGCCUGGCUAGUCAGGCGUGAAAUCUCGGCGCUCAACGCCGAAACGUCUUUUGAUACUGCCAGUCUUGAAUAAGCGAGAGAUUCGUGGAAUUCCGAGUGUAGCAGUGAAAUGUGUAGAUAUUCGGAAGAACACCAGUGGCGAAGGCAGCGAAUUGGCGCUUUAUUGACGCUCAGGCACGAAAGCAUGGGGAUCAAACAGG
rnacentral:rRNA from 1 species